rnacentral:lncRNA from 1 species
AUUUACCAUUGCAAAAUUUCCCAAAUACAAACUGUGCCAAGCUCCACCAAACCUUCAUUCUCGGGCUCCUGACUUUGUACUUGGCCCUUACCGAUGCACUUUCUGAUUUCACAACAGCACUGAAGGGCUACAAUUAACGUGUCUGGGUGGAAGUUUCAUUAUGAAAAUGUGGGAAAUUCCCCACUAUACCAGGAAUAAAAGAGAGAGACAGAAACUGCUUUCACUUUAGUUGGAGCUGCACAGGGAGACGGAUCUCUAACUGCUGGGGGAACGUGAAAGAGAAUUUGUGAAGAGAGGCUAAAGUAGCGAUGGGGAGUUCGUGGAGAGACACGUGCUGGUAAGGGCUAAGAACAACCAAGGUAUGUUUAAAACUCACUAUUAAAUAGAAGGAAAAUGACUGGCACAUUAAAUUCUAUUCUCUGGGCCAUAUCCUCUAAACAGUGAAUUGUGGUAAACUGAGAAACGAAUAUUGGAACGUUGGAAAUAUAGCUGAGUUGAAGAUGUGUUCUAACUUCACUACUUUGGCCUUAAUUUUGCAAAUUUGACUUCCAGUUCACCACAUAUCACUAUUUAGUGAAUACGCCCCUCUUCAUUCCUGCCUGGUUACCUGUGCAAAGGGCAACGUCAGGAAAAAGGGCAGCAUGCGUAUUGUACUUCACACAUCCUGUGGCUCUCCUGACGGAUUAUAUUCUGCAACAGACUCUGCUUUAGCACGAACGGCAGCCUCUGACAGCCAUGCUUACCAUUUAACAUUGUCUGGAAGGUGAUUUUAGGAGCCGGUGGGGUUCAGUCAUGUUGAAUUGUGUCUGGCUAUUUGCUUGAUUCCAGCAGAAUCCAUGUCAAUGUGAAGGAGAAGAGAAGCGUCCCAGUCCGAGGGUUUGCCAGUGAUCUGUCUGCUGUGCUCUUUUUGCAAGCACGCCAUGGGCGAAUAGCAUUUAUCAAAAUCUCACCCUGUCCCUCCUAUGGGCUUUUCUCUUUUUCCAUAAGAACUUCCGUCUGUUCAGAAUACUUUCAGUUUCAUACUGAGAAAAUGAAUGGUCAGGCAGCAUGCACAAUCCUUUCCAGAUGUAUUGCUAGUGUGAGAGUUUUCACGCUGUGUGAUCAGGAGCAGCAUUUUAACCCCUUACUGGCACUGCUUCUUUGGACGUAUGCUAAUGUAGCAUAUCCUCAGGUGUAAUUUAACCCUCGUUCAUGCAAACUGUGUACCUUGUGAACCGCUUGCUUUUGGGAAUCAUACCUGCCUCAGACUGAACUUUGACCUUCCACGCAGAGGAGGUGUGCGCCAUUCUUUAGUAUACAUUGACCCUUAAGUCUACCUGUACCCUUUGUAGUUUCUUAAGUCAAAGGGUACAGGUAAUCUAUCAAUUGAGCACUUAUACAAUCACUGGAUUUGGUUUUAGAGAGUCAUUAAGUUUACAUUUUAACUUGUGUUAUUCAGUAAAGCGAAAGGCAAAUGACUGGCUGCCGUAAAACUAACCUGUAUCUAUACCAGGGAUAGGCAACCUUCAGCACUCCAGAUGUUGUGGACCACACCUCCCAUAAUGCUCUUACACCCAUAAUGCUCGCAAAGCAUCAUGGGAGGUGUAGUCCAAAACAUCUGCAGUGCUGAAAGUUGCCUAUGCCUGAUCUAUACUGAUACAUGCUAUUUACUGCAGCAGCUGUCCGACAUAACAUAUUUUGUUAUAUCCAUGACUUUACUGAGAGAGUAGUGGAUGCAUGGAAUAGCCUUCCAGCUGAAGUGGUAGAGGUUAACACAGUGAAGGAGUUUAAGCAUGUGUGGGAUAGGCAUAAGGCUAUCCUAGAUAUAAGGUAAGGCCAGGGACUAAUGAAAGUAUUUAGAAAAUUGGGCAGACUAGAUGGGUUCUUAUCUGCCGUCGGUUCUUAUCUGCCAUCACAUUCUAUGUUUCUAUAUAACAAUAUAUAAAUAUAAAGAGAGAAAGACGUUGCAAUGCAUGCAGCAAUCAACAGCAUCUGUUUAUGGUGGUCAGUUUGGGGGUCUGUUUGAUGGAUGAAGAUGUCUCCUUGCAACCACAGUGAACAAAUGUACUAUUUCAAAUUAAAUUGUACUGAAGCAGAUUUUUGGGCGCUGUCUAUUUAAUCUAUAUUAAAAAAAAAAAAAGCUGACGCAGCUGUAUCAUAUGGAAGUUGAAAUCUGCUUUACAAAAAUGAUGUGUAACAUAUUUGAAAGGAGUGCAUUGUUUCACGUGCCUGUGUACCACGUACCCGUGUUUGAUUUCAGUGUACAUGUGCUUGUAUGGAGUGUACAUGUGCGUGUAUGCAGAACAGGAUUAACCAUGAAGCAAUUAUUAUAUGGCAACACUAGGUAGCGGUCUAGGACCCACAGUUAAUACAGGGGCCUCGCAUCCAUGAAUUUGCUUGGACCCACUAACAACAAUGUGAAGAAUGAAGGGAAGGCCCCAGGGACCCCAAACUGGGAUCUUAAAGGGACACUUCACUGCCCCAAAUCACUGCUUUUAAUUAUGCAUUGUUUCAUAGGGGGUUUAGCUAAAAAAAAGUUUGCAAAAGCUGCAGAUCUCUUGUUUGAAGCCUUUGCAAGCCAUCCCCUUCUAACCCUGCCAAGACUUUCUGUGGCUGUCCAAUCAAAGACAAGUGCGGUUCAAUGCGAAGCCUUUGCAAGGAAGGUGCUCUGAGCAAUUGCUGCCUCUUGAGUAUAGCUCCACUAAGCUAAUGAAACCAGGGAGUAAUAAGACCGAUUGUCUGCUUGAAAAGCCAAGGUGAUGUAACCACAUUCAUCUGUAAAGGUGAUAAUUUCUAUUUAAAUCUGCACUUUUUUUAACAUGAAAAAAGAGGACACACUAUUCACACAUAACGAUUUUCAGCAAGCUAAAGUAGUUUAGGUGUAACUCUUUAAUCCUUCUCUUCAAGUAUGUAGUAUAUUGUAUGCAAUCUGAGGAGAUUGGCCUUCAAAGCCAUUGCCUGAAUUUUAAUGACAAAAUGUAGGUAUUCCCCAGGCAGAAGCAAAAACAAAACCAAAUUUAAUCAUAGAUUAAAAACAGAUUAAUCAAAAACAGCAUUAGACAUAAUUAGUGAGCAUUGCAGUCCAUGUACUGGACUGUGAAACCAUUAAGUGAUACACAGCAGGAAAAAAAAUCACUAGUGCCAAAUUGGGACUGUCCUGUCAGAUCCAGGACUUCUGGAAAGUAUGCAAGGGUUCAGAGUCUUGUUCUGUACCUCUCAAAUGUCACACAAUUCGAGAUCCUUCUGUAUCUGAAAUCCCACUGUCCAUGUUUCAUGCAGUGAAGUUAUUUUCUCUAAGCCAAGCAUCCCAGUUAAUGGAUAACUAACAAUCAAAAUCUAGACUAAAUUUGCAGAAUUUGAACUCUGUGUUCGAGCGAAUAACCAAGUGCCACAGCACUAACCCUCAUACAGAAAUAUUUAGUAAACUCAGAUUUUCUGUGAUUUAAAUCCAGAUGUAAAACAAUAGCCUUGAAUUGUUUAUUAGGAAAAAUUCUCCAUCUCAACAAUAGUCACAAUUUGGCUCUUUGUGCCUCAGUUUUGCUGUUUGGAUUUUAUUAGCAAAAAUUAUAUUUCUGAAUAUUUAUUUUUUCUUCCAAAUGAUGUACAUAAAAAUAAACAGCAAUCCUUAGAGUGUUGAGUAAAUAUUUUCAAUAUUGCCCGUCUCUUAAACUAUCUGUCCAGGUAAACCUGAAAUAACGUUUCCCAUUAUUAAUAGACUAAAGACAUUUAAAAGUCUGCAUUAUUAGUUUGAGUAUUUAACAAGGAAGUUCACAUAUGACCCCACACCUCAGUUAUAUCCGUGAUCUAGAUAUUUUUAUUAACAUAUACAUUUUAUGGCGGGAACUGAACCUACGACUGUGUGAUAUUGUAGAGGGAGCUCUAACCACAUAUGACAAGGAAUAUCUUUAUAGAACAUAACACUUAAUGUUUACAUUGUGGUAGUCAGACUACUAGAAGAAAAUCUAACAGAAUCAGAAUCGCUAAAGCUGAUUGUAGUUGUGGUUAUGAUGCAAGAAGUCUUUUGCGUGGAGUUUUUCCAAGUUCUAACAAACCAUUUGCAAGUGGUUUGACAAAAAUGAAAAAAAAAAAAACAACAAAUCAGGCCUCUGUCAUUGAAACUAUGAAUGCCAUAAUGUUAUCUUAGGGGUGGCGUAGGCGUAGUGCAGCACCUACGGACUUUCAUUGGUGCACAAAUAACUUCACUGAGUACAGAUUUGCACUGAUAUCGGCAAAGUAAAACUAUAUUUGGGUGCCGCCAGGGUUCUGUUCUUUUUGGGUUUUUUUUAGUCAAGUAGCUUGAAAAAUGUUCGGCAAAAGCUGUACGGACUACACCCAAAAUCACCACGUAAUCCUAAAUACGAAAACAAACUGUAAUAAUUAGUGUCCCUUUAAGGUAACAUCAGAGAUUUCAUAUAUAACAUGCUGCCAAUUUAAUACCAUUAGAGUUUACAGAGCAGUGUAUUGCACACACACUUUAAGUAACUACUAUCGCGAAAGUAUUAUAAAUAAAUCGUCCUAUCGUAUUAUGCUGCAUUUUUGUUUCCUGUGGAUUCAGGUCGUUGAUCUGGCGUAGUCUUCAUGCCAAAACACUGAAUUGUUUCCAGUUUGGUUUUUUUCUAUAUUGUUGUUUGUUUGGUUGUUUUUAAUUCGAGAAUUAAAGAAUUAAAUGGAAUAUGUUGAUUAACUUCCACACUAGUGCACACGUACAAAGCAGAAGCAUCGAACUGCCUCUCAGUUUUUGUUGACAAUAAUUCCCAUAAUACAGGAUUUAUGAAAUGUCUAAAACAUCAGCUAUGGUGAAAGUUUGGCAUGGCUAGUUCAUGGUAUUAACCGGUAGGCACUCCAGAUGUUGUUGACUACAUCCUCCAUAAUGCUCUUACAACCAUAAUGCUGGCAAAGCAUCAUGGGAGGUGUAGUCCAAAACAUCUGGAGUGCCGGCAUUUGCCUGUGCCUGUGGUAGGGUAUCAGAUUAUCACUAAUUGAGCUUGAAGAAAGGUUCAGUGAACACAUUUACCCAUGGAUGUCCCAUGUGCUUUUACCCUUUUUUUUGAUCUUUAAAAACUGAUAUAUUUCCAGUAAAUUUUGAUGAAGACAACACUGUGAAAUGAAUUAUAUCUAAUAUAUCCUUCGAAAUAAAGGAGCUCAUUAUUAUGCUAGAAUUACAUUUGGACUAGUAUAUCAUGUUGUACGAAUCAUAACAAAGAAUAGUAUUUUUUUCUGAUGACUUUACAUUUAAUAAACACCCUCAAUACACAGGAAAAAGAGAGAAAUUAAUAAUCAACACUAACAUAAUCUGUUAAACUCACUACACUGCAAAGUAAAUGAAACAACACCUGCAAGUUUUCUGGUAGAUGUAAACAAUUACCAAGGAGGAAAAAUAAAUGUUGCUUGGAGCAAAGGGAGGUUUGUGCUUGAGAAGAACUUUUAAUGUGACAUUUCUGACAUGAAGUACAAAGACUCAUACGUCAGCAAUGUGUGAAUAAUGUCGCCCAAAUUACAAUACAUUUUCAGUAAACGUGACUGAAAAUCGGGGGAAUAUGUUAAAUAUGUUAAUUAUUGGAGAUUUUAAUCAGCCGGACAUAAAUUGGGAUAGAGUGACUAGUACUUCAGCAAGGGGAAUCAGAUUUUUGAAUGUGUUAAAUGAAUCAUUCAUGUCACAACUGGUACAAGCACCAACUAGAAAGGAUGCUUGUCUGGAUCUCGUUAUAACAAACAAUGUUGAUCUUUUGACCAACAUUCAAGUAGGGGAGCGUUUGGGAAAUAGUGAUCACAAUAUGAUAAUUUUUAAAAUAAACUUUAAAAAGCAAAAGCACGUGGGGUAUACUAAAGCGUUAAAUUUUUAAAAUGCAACAACAUAUCGACUGGCAUAAACUCCUCAGUGAAAAAAACCCACUGAGGAUAAGUGGAAGCUCUGCAAACAAAUAUUAGAAAGGUACAUUUCUCAGUAUGUACCAUUGGGAAAUAAAUAUAAAAGAAACAAAUUAAAACCAAUGUGGCUUAGUAGAGAAGUAAAACAAGAGAUUAAAAAUAAGAAAUGGGCAUUUAGAGCAUUUAAAUCGGACAAAUCAGAGGCAUCCUAUAUAAGAUAUAAGGAAGGCAAUUAAAGUGGCUAAACUUGAAAAUGAGAAAUUGAUAGCCAAAGAAUGCAAAACCAACCCCAAUUUUUUUUUCAAGUGCAUCAAUUCUAAAAAAAACCCCCCAAAAAACGAAAGUGUAGGUACACUGGAAACAAAGAUGGGUCUGUUAGUGAAUGAAGACCAGGAAAAGGCAGACAUUUUAAAUAACUAUUUUUCUUCAGUAUAUAUGUAUGAGGAUCCUUUGGCAAGAGAUAUGCAAAUGAUUGCUGCAAAAAAACUUGCAGAUAACUUGUGAUUGGAUGACUUGAGACCAGGUGCUAUAGCAGUUAAAGAAAAUCUAUGUAAAUAAAGCUCCAGGGCCUGACGGUAUUCACCCACGAGUACUUAAGGAGCUAAGUGGGGAAAUAAGUGAACCUUUGUAUUUAAUUUUUCAAGAUUCUUUUGUUUCAGGUAUUGUACCAGAGGAUUGGAGGAAGGCAGAUGCCGUUCUAUAUUUAAAAAGGGUUCAAAAUCCUUGCCUGGAAAUUAUAGACCUGCGAGCUUAACUUCUGUGACUGGGAAAAUAUUUGAAGGGCUAUUAAGGGAUUAUAUUCAGGAAUUCAUUGGGAAGAACUUUGUUAUUAGCAAUAAUCAGCAUGGUUUUAUGAAACAUAGGUCAUGUCAAACAAACCUAAUUGCAUUCUACCAAGAAGUAAGUAGAAGUAUAGAUCAGGGUAUUGCAGUGGAUGUGAUCUACUAGGAUUUUGCCAAGGCAUUUAAUACGGUUCCUCCCAAUAGGUUAGUCUUCAUACUAAAAGAAAUUGGCACACGCAACUUACACCCUAAAUGGUAGUGAAUAAGGGAUAACCACACAUGAGAAGGAUUUGGGAAUUGUUAUAGACAACAAAUUAGGCAGCAAUUUGCAAUAUCAAUCUGCAGUUGCUAAGACCAGUAAGGUUUCGUCAUGUAUAAUUAGGGGCAUAAAUUCUCAGAAUGAUAAUAUAAUUUUGCCUCUUUAUAAAUUGCUGGUAAGACCACACCUUGAAUAUGCUGUGCAAUUUUGGGCACCUCUUCUAAAGAAGGAUAUCAUAGCACCAGAAAAAGUGCAGAGACGAGUUACAAAAAUGAUAAAAGGAAUGGAGCAUUUUAGUUAUGAAGAAAAGUUAAAACAUUUAAAUCUCUUUGGUUUGGAAAAAUGGCCCCUCAGAGGGGAUAUGAUAACAUUAUACAAAUAUAUUCGGGGCCAGUGCAAACAAUUAUCUGGAAAUCUAUUCAUAAACAGGGCUCGAAAUAGGACACAAGGUCACACAUUUAGGCUGGAAGACAAAGAAUAGUUUUUUUACAGUAAGAUCAAUAAGAAUAUGGAAUUCUUUGCCUGAAGAGGUGGUUUUAUCAGAGUCCAUACAGAUGUUUAAACUGCAAUUGGAUAAAUACUUGCAAAAACAUAACAUACAGGUAUAUAAUUUCUAAUUAGUGGGGUAAUAGCUGCUUGAUCCAUGGAGAUAUCUGACUGCUAUUUUGGAGUCCAGAAAGAUUUUUUUUUCCUAGUUUUUUGCAAAAUUGGAAGCGCUUCAAACUAGGUUUUUUUGCCUUCUUUUGGAUCAACAGCAAAAACAUAUGUGAGGAAGGCUUGUAACUGCAGCUUGUUCCCUUAUUUACCACUAUAAAGUCUUAAAGCAUGGAACUUGGCAGGGCUAACCAUACAGAUAUCUUAGCCAUAAUUUUAUAUAGUUAGUAAGAUAUCCUCUAUUUAAAAUAUAUAGGUAAUUGAGAAUACAAUAUAAAAUAAGGAUUGUCUUGGAAGCAAUAAAGUUUUUUCUUUUAGGUAUUUUUUUAAAUAAAAAUAUGAAUAUAGACAUAUGAAAUUCAUUACAAUAGUUUAUAGCAGAGUUUAUAAGAUUAAACUAUAUGCUUGCAAUAUCUUAAUAGAUUAACAUACCCUCCUGAACAUGUCAUAAUGUCAGAUUCUCUGUCAUUAUAAGAUGGAGCGUCUGUCUCCAAAUCUCUUCUUUCUGUGUUAACAUUUAAAAGGUACACAUAUUUAUACCUUAGGUGUCUUCAUUUUAGUGUUACCAUAGUUCAUAUAUGAAAAAGUAACAUUUCUUUUACUUUAUUAAUUUUAGGACCUCCCUUAAAUUAAAGUACAAGGCCAUACCUAACGCAUAAGGGGGUGCACGCGUCAUGGGAAGUUCCCUGACUUAAGACAACAUGGCAUCUUAAAGUCUGAACAUCUCUAUCUAUUUAGGGUUACCUCAGUAUAUUAGGUACUGAAAGAGUCAUAGCAUAGCCUUGAAGCUUGUUUAUGCAUUAUUGUUAUUUUUUUUCGUGUGGGACAAAAUGGUGUAAACAUAUUAUGCACUGAAAGUAGGUAAAAGGUUAUUGCUUAAAGAAACAGUUAUGAAAAACAAUAUUUCUAAAACCUUGUCAGUUUGUAAUCUCUCUUAAAGACAAAGUACACAGGUAAUCGUCCUGGGUCAUCAUUCAAAUUGGUUUAAAUAGAAAAAUAAUGAAAAGAGUAUGUUGAAUAAAAUCAUUGACUGGUGUACAAUCUCAAAAGUUCGAUAAGCACUUUAUCUCUUUAUCUCUUCUUCUCAAAAUGAUCAAUAUGCAAACAAAGCGCAAAGUAAGAGCAUAGAAUGGAAAUUGUAAGAGAUAAAAACCACACAUCUUUUUAUAACUCAAUUGUUAAUCAUCUAGUCUCUUGCCUUAACCAGACCCAAGCUUAAAUUACUGAUUGCAUCAAGAGCAAAAACUAUUCCUUAGCACAGAAUGACAUAUGUUUCCGUGCUCUGAUGUGUGUGAUGAAUCCGGCCAUAUAACUUGUCUUAUUACUGUUACAAACUUUAACAAACACAAACUCUACACCGCACCGCUUUCCAAAUAGAAAAGCAAGGAGGGUAAUUAAUAUCUGAAGGCAGGUACAAUGUAACCUUGCACUGCUCUCUUUUGUUUCAUUCUUCUUUUAAACAUUUGGAAACAUGUGCAAAUAGUCUCAAUUCAUGAAACCACAUGAUAUCCCGUCCACUUAAAUUAUGCUUGGCAUUCACUUCCCUUUUCACCUGCAAUUAUAGCAUAAACCAAGAUGGAAUUUAAAGAGGUAGCUAAGAUUCAGUCGACUAGCAAGUAUGCCUUUCUCAUACAAUACUCUUCUAUUAAAGGGACACUAUAGUCACCAGAAUAACUACAGCUUAUUGAAUUUGUUCUGCUGAGUAGAAUCACUACCUUCAGGCUUUUUGCUGUAAACACUGUCUUUUCAGAGAAAAUGCAGUAUUUACAUUACAGCCUAGAGAUAACUUCACUGGCCACUCCUCAGGUGGCUGUUAGAGGUCCUUCCUGGGUCAUGACUGCCUAAAAUGCAUCCAAACAUUCAGUAUCUCCUCCCUCUGCAUGCAGACACUGAACUUUCCUCCUAGAGAUUCAUUGAUUCAAUUCAUCUCUCUGAGGAGAUGUUGAUUGGCCAGGGCUGUGUUUGGAUCAUGCUGGCUCUGCUCCUAAUCUGCCUCUUUGUCAGUCUCAGCCAAUCCUAUGGGGAAGCACUGUGAUUGGAUCAGGCCACCGCUUCUGAUGAUGUCAGCAGACUGCUUGUUUUUCUGAGUCUAACAGCAUGCAGAGUUACAGCUUUAGGCUUGAAUACAGUAAGAUUUGUACUAUAUUUAUGGAGGCAUGAGGGGCCAAGGGGGGCUAGAUAUAGGGUCAGGAAUACAUGUUUGUGUUCCUGACCAUAUUGUGAUCCUUUAAACUCUUUAGAAAAUCUGCCUGUACUGUCAAAAUAUAAUUAGAUUAUAAUAUUGUCUUGUCAAUAAGGUGUUACAGAAUCUUCUGUAGCUAGCAUAAAGAAAAUAACAAUAUGCACCCAAAGGAGAAAAACAAGACUCUCAAGUACAUAUUGUCAAUCUGGUUCUAUUUUUCCUGAUAUUCUAGACAGAGCAAUAUACACAUUGCUUAGAGCUAAUGACCCACUGCUUCUAUAGCUAUGAAAUUUAACUCACCAGUCAUCUAUGGCAGUGUUAUUUAGUUAUGUGUACUUUAUCAAACAAUAUAAUUAACAUAUUGAUUCAAUUCUAUCAUUGUUGUUUGCUAACUGAUCUUUCCAUAAAACGUGAAACUUAUUUUUAAAAAUUGGCACAGCUGAACCAUUUUUCCAAAAAUAUAAACAAUUUUGAAACACUUGAAAAGUGAAAAAUGCAAAGUUAUGCACUUCUGCGUAAAGAAUACCCAAGCAACGUAUACCCUUAAUGGAAGUGAAUUAGGGAUUACACACGAAAAGUACUUGGGAAUUGUUAUAGACAACAAACUAUGCAACAAUGUGCAAUGUCAAUCAGCAGUGGCCAAGGCCAGUAAGGUAUUGUCAUGCAUGAAAAAAGACAUUCAUUCUCGGGAUGAGAAUAUCAUUUUGCCUCUUUAUAAAUCACUGGUAAACCACAUAUUGAAUAUGCUGUGCAAUUUUGGGCACCUGUUCUAAAGAAGGAUAUUAUGGCACUAGAAAAAGUGCAGAGGCAGGCUACAAAAUUAAUAAAAGGAAUGGAACAUAUCAGCUAUGAAGAAAAGUUAACAAAUUUAAACCUCUUUAGUUUAGAAAAACGUCGCCUGAGAGGGGAUAUGAUAACAACAUUAUACAAAUAUAUUCGGGGCCAAUACAAACCAUUGUGUGGAAAUCUAUUCACAAACCUGACUUUACAUAGGACACAAGGUCAUGUGUUUAGACUGGAAGAAAGAAUAUUUAGUCUAAGGCAAAGAAAAGGUUUUUUUUAAUGUAAAAACAAUAAGGAUGUGGAAUUCUCUGCCUGAAGAAGUGAUUUUAUCAGAGUCCAUACAGAUGUUCAAACAGCUACUAGAUGCAUACUUGCAAAAACAGAAUAUUCAAGGAUAAAAUCUUUCAAUGUAGGGUAAUAACUGCUUGAUCCAAGGAUAUAUCUGACUGCCAUUCUGGGGUCAAGAAGGAAUUUUUUUCCUAGCUUAUUGCAAAAUUGGAAGUGCUUCUAACUGUUUUUUUUUUUGCCUUCUUUUGGAUCAACAGCAAAAAAAUUUGAGGAAGGCUGAACUUGAUGGAUGCAAGUCUCUUUUCAGCUAUGUAACUAUGUAACUUGAAUUUUGGCCAAAGGUUUGGCUCAGCAGAAUUCCAGAACCAUGAUUCCAAAUUCGGGAACCGAAGCAGAAGAAUAAUAGGGCACAAAAAUAGACCAAUUAGUAUGCUCAAAAUGUACGCGUAAUAGAAUAUUGUGUGGUGUAUUUUGCACUACACGGAUUUACUAAUUACUAAACAUAUUACUAAAUAUUAAGAUCAAGUUCUUGAUGUAGACCCGAAUGGGUCGAAACGAUCAGUUAUUUUUGUGACUUUAUGUUCCAAUAAGCACCAAUGAAUUUAUGGAAGACCUGUGAGUGCCCCUUUUUUCUAAUUUGGUAUAUAUUUCAGCGUGGAAUUGCACCAAGGCACUGUAUUUGGAUAUUAUGGACUAGAGGGUGAGUGCCAUUUUUUUAACGUAAAAUUUGUCCUGAAAAAAAGUCUACUUGUUUGUUCAGUUUAUACAAAGAAGAAGUCAACGUUUCAGUCCUAACCAGACUUUUCUCAGGACAAAUUUUACAUAAAAAAAAAAAAUGUAUAUAUUGGCAACUAUGACACCCCACUAGCAGUAGUGGCAACUAUGACACCCCAUCCCUUGCAGCGUGUAUGCUUAAAGGGGUGGCAAAUAAUAUAUAUUCUUGGUGGUAAGAUCACCCAGUAUUUUCAUAUUUCUAUUGUGUCAUAUUUUUUCAUCAAUUUGCCAUUUGUGAAUCAAGCAAAUUGAUGGAAAAAAAAUACAAAACCAAAUGAAAAACUAAACCAAAUGCUAACACACACACAAUGAGUUAAUCACUGUUACUGACCUUUAAUGAAUUGACCCAGAGGUUCCAUGUCCAAAAUAAACCAGAUGUUCUUAAUUUAAAUAAGGCCAUUAGAAAUUGCAAUUCCUGUGGUCAUAGAAACCCUGUUUUGAAAUCCUGCAUACCAGACCAGGAAUAGAAAUGUGUACUUCUGCUAUCCAGGAGACAAGACAAAUCUGAUUAUUUUUUAAUAUAGCGAAAGUGUACAACGAUUUAAAGCACAGUCUUCAUGUCACUUUUGCUUUGAGCUUUAUUGUCCGUUCCUUAUUUUCUGCUUGUGGAAGCAUGACAAAAGGUAACCCUUGCUGACUAUCUAGUGCACACAUAAACAAACAUUGUAUUAAAAAAAAUUCACGCACAGGAAGUCUGAGACUCCAUUACAAGAUUUCAUUUUAAAUCCUGUAUUGAAAUAUGUGAGCUGUGCAACAGAUAUUCCAAAUUUUGACUUGGUUUUAAAUAUUUUUAAAUUUGUUUAUUUAUUAUUAUUAAUGAGGAUUUACUGUGCACGUAAAAUUUCAGUGCCUUAGGACUUUAUUAUUUAGGCACCAUAAAUGUUCAGGGUUUGUUUAUUUUCUAAAUUGAGUCAUACUGUGUGAGGACCAAAAUGUAGACUUUGUUGCCAACCAUGUCAAUGGUUUAAGUGCCAAAGUUGUAAAACCUGCAAUGCAUCCUUGGAAAUAAAAAAACACUGUGUAACUAUUUAACCUUCUAUCCUCCCUUGUGGACAAAUUGUACGUUUAUGUUUUGAAUAACUAUUGUCUACUUCCUUUAGACUAUAGUUUCAUUGAAUCAGGGCCUUCGUUAUCACUUUGCUCCAGUAUGCUGAGCUUGUAUGUCUUGUUUUUAUUAAUUGUCUUUCACUGUGGAAUUUGGUGUUGCUAAGCUAAUGACAAUUGCUACCCAACGGGCAAAACUUUAGGGCUUUGUCCAUUUUUAGUGGAAGUGCCUAUUUUAACCUGUUUUUCCCACGUUCAGAUAAUAUUGUAGCAUACAAUGAACACAAUUAGAACCCGUAGCUUAAAUUAAUAAUAAAGUCACCCUUUCCAAGUUCUGUUUUAAGGGUUAUUCACGGUGUUUAUUGAAAAGAAUUAAAAAUUUUAGUACAAAUUAGCAAAUAUUGGAAAAAUAUCUAGAUCAGCUCUGCAUUUAGUUAUAUCUAAUAAAAUGUUAAAUUCAAUUUGAAUUAACUUUAUGUUCCUGAUGAUUCACACUGAGUAUAUAACCUUGUCUGUGUUGUAGUGAGAUAAGAAUUGGCACACAAAAAAAUAAACUAUUUCUGACAUUUCAUAUUUCUAGUGAAUCCAUCCAUGACUGUCUCAUCCCAUUACACACUUUAUUUAUUUAUUUAUUUAUUCUUCUGUCUUUUUUCCUCCUGUUUCCUGUUUGUAUCUGUAUUUGUACCCUUGUAUCUAUUUGUUGUUUCCUUGUAAUCAUCUUUUAUCCACUUUGUUUAAUGUCUUGAAUUUUAUUUGCGUCACUGGUUGCUCACAGCUUAGUAGACAUGCCACUACUCUUAGCACAGCGGGUAAGUACAGAAAAGAGAAUUUAUCCUCCCUUAUACCCUUAUACUAAUAUGGGAGUCAUAUUGACACCCAUAGAGUGGGGGGCAUGGGAGAUUUAAGAAAAUGGCAGAGAGCACAGCUCUCCGCCCCUUCUAUUUUUAAAUAUAAGAAGGAGGAAGCUGCAAGCAAGUUACUCCCUCUUGGUAAUAAAAUAAAACAAACAAAGAAUGAGUUGCAGGAAGAAAUUUCAUUUAACAAGCAAUUUGGUCUUUGUAUCAUUCAAAAGCAAAUGCCCAUGAUUACUGUGAAGUGGGCAUGCGCGAGAAUUUCACUGCACAAGCUAGUGUGGACCAACGACGAUGAUGCGGUAAAGUUCAUCUAUGAUCACUAAGAUGGCAGCGCUUAGGACAUAGAUCCGGAGAGGAAAUGAAGCAAUAAAAAGGUGAAAUGGGGGACAUAGAGGCAUUUUGGUGUGACUGUAGUUACAAUAAAGUGUAGAGGAGUCGGGAGAGGGGUUAAAAAAAGUUGAUUAGUUUUAAGCCAAUACAUUUUCACAGUUACGUUUUGGAGAACCACACCAUAUUUUAUUUGGUGCAUAGUUAUUAUCCAUUAUACUGUAAAAAAAGAGAUAGAAUAGACGCAGCUGAACUAUUUAAUUUGAUUUUAUGCUUGGUUUGUUUAGAUCGAUUAUUCUUUCUCUAUAAAAUAAGUACAAAAAAUAACGUGCUAUCUUUUUGCAUCUACGUGAUUUUUUUUCCACUUUUCAUUACAUGCAAUAUAUUCCCAAAUCACAAUUCUUCAUAAGGCUUACACUCCAGGGAUAUCAUAGAACACAUUGAAUCUGUAUGAUAGGAAACUGCUGGACACAUUCUAAAUAAAUCCCUUUAAAAAAAAAAAAAAAAAACUAUUAAUGCAAAGUCCAUCAAACAAUUUGAUAGUAUGUUUUGUUGAAUUAUUCAUUAAGGUUAUUCAGUAAACAGCAGCUAUAGUACAGCUUGGCAAUUUAAGUCUAAAUUGUACAAUGCUGACAGGAGUGUUUUCGUUGAUUGUAGCACUCUGCCCUGGUUUUGACAUGCUAAUUAUAUCUUUUAGUAUGUUUUAUUUUCUUUUUUGGCCUAUACCCAGAUAGUGUGUCUAUGGACUGUUUGAGCUAGAAAUGGUUCUGCCAGAUUCAAGAUUAGUUUAAAUGUAGAAAGUAAUCCAGGCACACCAAAGUGUUCCAAAAGAUAGGCAAUUUUCAUUGGACCCAAGAACCACUAUAUUUUGGAACACUUUGGAGUGCCUGGAUUACUUUCUACAUUUAAACUUUACAUUUGGUCCUUUUGGUACUGGGACUGAUCCGGUUAAGCACCCAAGGAUUCCAGGGUGAAGGGUUUGAGUGCAGUUCCACUACCUGUAUAUAGAUUCCAGAUUAGUGACAUAUUUUGUUUUAUUACUGAGCAUCUUUAGAAGGACCAAGCCUAUACUUCUGUGACAUUCUCCAGUGAGGUGUCAAGUUGCCCACCAAUACUAGGCUUUGACAAGUUAGAGUCAGGAUAGAGCUGCUAUACACGUGCAUUGUGUGUUAUGGAAGACCAGGUUACAACACCCUGGGUUCUACUGCAAUACAUAAAUUAACAUUGUUUGUUGACAUGUUAAUAUGGAAUCAAUAAUACCUGAUAUCUAUACUUUGCAAACGUUCACCUGUCAGUUAACUUAAUGCCUGUAAUAAACGGAACUCUGGUGUGAUCUAGUCUGAUCUAUAAUUCCAGCAUCCAAACAGAUUUAGCCAUUCUUUACCUUUUUCAGUGGUCACCAAACAGACCAUCUUGCCCAGAAAUGGACAAGCCAACAGAUAGACAUCUGACCGAACAUCAAUCUUUGUAAAUGGGACUCAAGUCCAUAUAAGGCGGUUUUCAAACCCCAAAGUAUAAAUAAGGAAGAAAUGUUAUAUUAUUUCAAAGUGAGUUAUCCAAUCUUUUUUCUUUCAUCUAGGCUGUUAUGCUUCUUAAUGCAACUGUGAUUUGUGAGACUUUGGGCAGUAAACCUCAAAUUAUUCUAAAAUAAUUUAGCUAUAGGAAAAUUCCAACUAAGCAGAAUUGUUUUAUGACUGUGUACUUUUGGUCUACAUUUUUUAAGUGAAUAAACUCUUAUGUGUUGGUUGCAUGUGUGUACUGCCUUAGGAGUGCGCGACCUAUGCGAUCACACUAAGGGGCAGAUGGCACCACACUCUCCUUCAGGAAUCUAUGCAAGUACCUGUAGUCUAGCAGAACUGUCAUAGCUAUCAGUGCCUACCUUCUUAACCAAGAGCUCAUAGAGAUAACUGCAGGUUUGCUAAGGAGGAAAACAGGGAGCUACCCAAAAUUAUAUUUGGCAUGUAGGUUCCAUGAUGCACUUCCAGUUCAUUAGACUGACUGGGCACCAGGAGAAUUGCACCACAAAUAUCUGGAGUUUGAUUUUAAAAAAUGAUUUGAACUACAGUUCCUACAAUGCUCCAUUUGCCUUUAAAGUUGGCUAAACAUCAUGGAGGUGGUACUUCACAAUGGUACUUUACUUUGGGUAUAAUGGCCUAAUUUCACCUUCACAUUAUAAACACAGGAAAAUUAUACAAACAUAGAAACACCUACACACACACACUUACUUGCACAGCAAUAGCCACAGUUAGUGAUAUUACACACAUGAACAAGGAUGUUCCUGCACACAGACAUUGGAGGGACGUUAUUACAAAGCCUCAUACAGAUCACCUGAAGGCCUAAGGCUGGCCCUUCCUGCAUAGUAAACCACACAGACCAAUGCACAGUAUUUGCAUAGUUUGCAAUGGGUUUGUAGUCUGGCUUGAAAUCAAACACCUCUUUAGUCAGCAAAUUUAAUUCACUUCCUCAUUAACUGUAUUUUCUACUAACGUGUCCCAACUGCACUAUAUCAGUUUUGUUCCUUAUGUUUCACUCCUGGCUUGCAGUUUGCCACUGUCGUUAGAAAUGAAAGCAAAAGAGGCAGCUUAUUGUACCCUCUGUAUCGUAUAAGGUGUAAUUUAUUAGUAAAAUCAAAUUUGAGAAUGUUCACUUCUCCAAACAUGGUCAGUUAAAAGAAAUUGGUCAAUCAAAAUAUCAAGGCCAUUUGGGGGUUUCUGAGAAGUUUUGAAGAAACAGAAUGGAGAGAGAUUUAUCAAAAUGAUCUGAAAAGUGUGUUUUAGAGGAUCAACAAUCUGUCCCAAUUUACUGGUUUUAUUGUUUGCAAAAUAAUCUGAAAAGUGUUGCCUUAUUCUAAGAAUACAAAUAUCCUGUGCCAUGCCUUUUCAACUGUGUCAAAUGUCUAAUAAACUGCUAUUUAAAACAAAUAUCCUGGCUCCUGGUUAACUAAAAAAUAAAAUCUUUUUUUGAUUUGUUAAAAUAAAUUUGAAGAUUAAGAUUAUAAGAUUAAAUUGAAUGUUCUAUACAUUAUAAAAAACAUGCAAAAGAAAAAAAAGACUGUCGUGCAACAUUUUGAUAAAUCUUCCUCACAACUAAAGUUGUACUAUUUUGAUCACAAAGUUCUAGCAAAAUAUUUUUAUCUACAUUAAAACACUCUGAAAAUCCUAACUACCAUACCUCUCCGUGGUUAGAGUACCAAGAGUCUCCCGGUGUCGCCCUCGGUUUAAUAGCAAAAUAUUUAUAAACGGUUUGAUAUAUACCAGAGCUGCUCUGAUCAUCAAAGGAUCUUUUCAAUCUCAUCAUCAUUAAUAAUGUUAAAUUAUUACUUCUGCAUUCUCAAUGUAAAUUUUGAUCAAUCUGGAUGACUUUGAUUGAAUAAAAAUGCUGGGACAACAUUUUUGGAAAUAGUUUGGUGUUAAACUAAAUAUGGUGUCUAAAACCGCUUAGAGUGCCCCUUUAAAUACUAAAAUCAACUAUUUGGCACAUAAGAUCUAAAGCAUUUCCCCAUUCAAUUCCAGUGAUCUGAAAGAAAUGCUUGUGCUUCCGCUAUAUAAUGCAUUGGAUUUAGUGAAAUCAAACAUUUUAUUUAGCGGUUCUGGAACAUGCCUUUUUUUUAAAUUUAUUUAUUAUUAUGCAUUUUAUACCAGACAUUUGCUGUGUUUGGUUUAUUUUAAAACCUAAGUUUGUUUUCUAUGGACAUUUACAUAAUACAUCAUAGAAAAUAGAUAUGAAAGAACAUAAGAUUGCUAACUUUAAAAUUACAUUUAUUACACAAAACCAUUUAAUCAAUCACUGAGCGAAAUAUUUGCGGAUAUCAAUACUAUUAAAAGGGUUUUUUUUUUUUCAACAAAGCCAUCAAAAUAUUUAGACUCUAGUUGAAUAAAGUCGAUGUUGUGAUAUAUAUUUAAAAGGAUUCUUUGUUGCUGUGUGUGGAGUUGACCAUCCCUUUUUAAUGCAUUACCUAAAUAAUGCAUCAAAAAUUAAAUGAAAACAUGAUAACCCCUUUAGUUUUGUAACUGCAGUGUGCUCUGUGCUAAGCUAGGAAGUAGCCAUCUUUUAGACAUUGUUAGCUAUGCCAUUGUUUUCACUUGAUUUGGAGAGCUGAGAUUUAUGAGAUAUUUAGUCCAGCAAUCAGCAGAAAUCCCAUCUUCAUAAACAAAUUUUGUGAAACUAUUGCCAACAGCUAAUUUGUAGUUUUUGUGAAUGGAAGUAUACAAAUAAGUAACGAAGAAGCCAAUUAGAGGACAUGAGGAUCUGGAAGGAGCUGAAGCUCCAUCAAUUCCAUUUAUAAAAAAUAAAUAAUGCAAGUAAUAUUUUAAUCUUAAUGGUGAGGGUAAAUAGCAUGACAAAUUGUAUUUUAUUUUUUCCACCGUAGAUUGUGUUUGUGGUUUGAUUUCAUUUUACUUUUAGUAAUCAUUUUCACUUUACUAAUCCUUACAUAAAAUUGUGUAAUGGUAAUAUUGAUAGUCGGCCACGGAAAGAUAAUUACAUGUCAUUUAUAGAAGUCAGAUUUGGAACGCAUUUGAAAAAUAAAAAGAAAAUCUGUGCUGAUUCUAUUUCCAAAGUUAAAAUGUUUUAAUUGUUUUCAUGCUAGUUCAACAACAAUCUACUUUCAUUUUCUUUAUACUAUUCUGUGUACAUUUAUUUUGAAGAGCAACCACUUCCUUGAUAGACAAAUGGAUAGACAGACCGACAGAUUUAGAAUAGUUGUUUUUUUUUUUAAAACUUCAUACAUAACAUAUUGUUGGAUUUUUCCAUUACAUAAAAAUAUAUUUAUGUGUCCAUUAAAAACAAAACAAAAAAUGCAUUGUCGUGAGUUGACAAAACAGACCAAAACUCUCUUUGAGGAAAAAAUAAAAACAGUUUUCUUGAGGCUGUCUAUUUUAUUUUACAUUAAUUUAAUAUUAUUUCUUAAAUGUUGUGGCUAUUUGUUAUCUCAUUAAACUUUCCUGUGUAUUUAUGGAUAUCUCUGUACAUAAAGUCCUAUCAUUUCUGGGGUAGAUUUACUGGAAGGUGCUGACAUAUUGUAUGCCAUUAUAGCAAUGUUACCCCAAAAUGAUCUUUACCAACUGUGCUGUGUCAGCAGAUUAAAACGUCUGAGCAUAUUAAAGCCUCUGAGUGAGGUAUAACUGCUACGUAGGAAACUAUAGAAACUUUUUGUUGUAAUUUUUAGAAUGAAAAAGACAGUUUUCCAGUAGAAAAUAUUUGCCUUGUGACACCAAAAAACAGUUCUCGCUAACUUCAGCUCUGAUCUGCUGAUAAGUCAAAAUAUGGUUAAUAAAAACCAUAAAAACAAAUAAUAUAUUCCAGGGGGCAUUUUUUGCCAGUGAGCAAUACUAUAGUGGACUAUGGGCUGCUGGCUCACAGAACAAUACUAACAUAUAUUAUUAUUGUUGUAUUUUAAUCCUUGUAUUUAAAGGAACAAUAUAGUCACCUAAAUUACUUUAGCUAAAUAAAGCAGUUUUAGUGUAUAGAUCAUUCCCCUGCAAUUUCACUGCUCAAUUCACUGUCAUUUAGGAGUUAAAUCACUUUGUUUCUGUUUAUGCAGCCCUAGCCACACCUCCCCUGGCUAUGAUUGACAGAGCCUGCAUGAAAAAAAAACUGGUUUCACUUUCAAACAGAUGUAAUUUACCUUAAAUAAUUGUAUCUCAAUCUCUAAAUUGAACUUUAAUCACAUACAGGAGGCUCUUGCAGGGUCUAGCAAGCUAUUAACAUAGCAGGGGAUAAGAAAAUCUUAAUUAAACAGAACUUGCAAUAAAGAAAGCCUAAAUAGGGCUCUCUUUACAGGAAGUGUUUAUGGAAGGCUGUGCAAGUCACAUGCAGGGAGGUGUGACUAGGGUUCAUAAACAAAGGGAUUUAACUCCUAAAUGGCAGAGGAUUGAGCAGUGAGGCUGCAGGGGCAUGUUCUUUACACCAAAACUGCUUCAUUAAGCUAAAGUUGUUCAGGUGACUAUAGUGUCCUUUAAAUUUUUUUUAUAUAAAAUGAAGAAAGGUAGUGUGGUGGAUCGAUGUGCUACUUUGGUUUAAAGCUGCCCCCCUCCCCCUUGCAGACAAGGACCAAAAACCACACAGAAUUACACACAAGAGAGACCAUUUUUUCCCAAAAGAAAAUGCAAAAGCAUUUGUGCAUGCUGAAUAUUAAAAAAGGUGCUCAGAAUACUUAAUAGUUUCUUAACACAUUUAGCUGUGUAACUUUAAACUGACCAAAUCAUUCACACUAAGUCUGGAAUAUCACAGCUACAAUUCUAGCUAGGCUACUUGUUUUAACAAGCAACUUCAACAAAAAUAAAUGUUUUCACAAAAUAUUAAUUUUAUAUUUAAAUACAAAUUGAGUUAAUUCAUUAAACCAGCUAUCUUGAAUUUAUUUUCAAAUUUUAGGCCAAAUAACUUUGCUACAGAAAAUAGACAAAUUGAUUAAUUGUUCCCAAAAUACCUGUACUCGACUAAAAUCCGCAAUUCUUUUGUGAUUUUUAUAAUCUACUGUUUACUGAACAAACCCCAAAGCUUCAAAUAGUAAGACAGAAAUUUAUGCACUGGAGUUAAAUAUAAUGAUUUCUUCUCAUUUUUACAGCAUUUCACUGCAAUAACAUUUAGUGUACACAUUCACUUGUACAACUGCCUCAGUCCUUAAGGGAUUAAUGUGCAUUUUUAAGUACAAUAAAUAUCUUCUCCAUAAUAAAUGUAAGUACCCCACAUACAUGCUUUCCUGUUAUUCAGAAUAAAAUAGGAUAGAUUUAUGUUUUAUUUUGUUUAUAACAACUCCAUGUUAUUUUUUUGUUCUACCAGCAAACUGUAAAAAGACAAAUUAAUUACAAUCCACUUUUAUUUUGUAUUGAAAAUUACAUCAAUCGUUAAUGUGAAAGAUUUACAAAACAUGAUUUGUAACAAAAAAAAAUGUAGUUAUCAGAAAUUAAUUCAGUACAGUUGUGUUUUUUGUUUUUUUCAUUUGCUGUAGUUCAUUCUAUGCAACGAAAUAAAAAAUAGAAAAUCUAAGAAACAUCGAGUGUUUGAGAGAUACGAGAGGUCAAUAGAUAAGAAUUUGCACAAACUACAUAAUAACUUAAAUUUAAAACAUGUAAAGACUAUUUAGUAACACGAUUUAGCAGAUGCAAACAAUGUUAAAAAGAGGAGGAAUCCCCUGGAAUCCCUAUUAACCCCUUGAGGACACAUGACAUGUGUGACAUGUCAUGAUUCCCUUUUAUUCCAGAAGUUUGGUCCUUAAGGGACCACUUCUUGGCAAUACAUUAUUUGAUCCUCUGUAUCACUGAUUUCUUUUCCAUAGGUGUUUUCAUCUACGUUCCUCUGUGAUUUGCUUCCAAAGUAAAGAGUGAUGAUCCCAAAAUUCAUCAAAGGUCUGCCUCAGUCUGAUUUACUGAAUUCCUACAUUUCUGCAAAUCAGGUUUUAGCAUUUUAAAUGAGAUGGUAUGUUUUUGACACUUCCUGUGGAGCUGGUUUACACUCUUUCAAAUGGAGCAAUGCCCCACGUAACAUACUUUGGCUACCUUAAAUGUUAGCAGGCAGGGCAAACCACUAAUAGAGUUAUCUUGUCUCUAUGAUAGAUAUACUAAGUGAGGAAAGACUGUACAUAAUUUCUGGAACAUUCUACAAGAGAUAACUAAAGUUAAAGUGCUACUUACAUUUGUACAUGUACUUUUUUUUACACCUCAUGGUGUCCUUCUCUCCCCUCCUUCAACCCUUGUGAUUCUCAUCAACUGCAAAAUCUUGCUUUGACUAUUUGUUCUCUCUAAGGACUUGCUGUGUAACUUACAUGUCUGUAGCCAUAAACCAGCAUAAUAGUUAUUCGUUAAACCCAAAUUCAGCACUUUCUCCUAGGGCUAAAAUAAACUCGUAAAUUUACCAAUAUGGUAUAAAAUGUGACUAAAUGUAAUGCAAAGUAACACAAAAUAAAAUAUAUCCUAAAAAGCUACAAUCAAUAUAUAGUAUUAUUAAUAUUUAUAUAGCAUCAAUAUAUUCUGCAAUGCUCUAGGAUUAGAGAAGGGGUGAAGAAAUGCUCAAAUGAGCUUACAAUCUAUGGUAGGUGGAUAUAUGUUGUUAGGUGUCCUUAUCCAAGGACAUGUACUGGCCUAACUGGGUUUCAAGUCUAAGUUUUCAAUUUCUAUGGCAACAAUGUUACCACUGCCAUAAAAAUAAUAAUAAUUUUAUCUGUUUAUCUAUCUAUAUUUUUUAUUAUAUUUUUUAUUUAUUUAUUUAUGUUUAUUGUUCUUGAAUUUUUUAUGUUUUAUAAUUUUAUUUUCUAUGAUAUAUAAGAUAAUGGGCCUUGUACAUUCAAAUAAUAUUUUUUCAUAUAUAUAUAUAUAUAUAUAUAUAUUAAAAUUCUUCUUUCAGGAAUAUACAACCCACUAACAUUCAUUAAUAUCAAGUUUCUAUGUCCAGACAUCAAAGGUCCCUAGGGGCGUUAAAUAUUUUAAUUGAACAGCUGCUUUCUGAUGAAUAAUACAAAGAUGAAUCCAAAGUAUUAAACAUGUAUCUUAUUUCAUCAUUUGGAACAUGAAAUAUUUCUGUAAAAUAAAGUAAUAGAUAUCUUUAGGAAAUAGCAGAAUGUUUUAAGUAAAGAUGAAAAAGAAAAAUAUGUAAAAGAAUAUGCACAAAUUGCUUCAUACUGGAAGUAAUUAUUAAAAUUUUAUUGUAACGAGGAAUGUUAGGUCAUUUGUAGCAUCAAUUUUAGUUACUUGUAACCAUGAUAGCUAUCACCCCAGGACAUAGCAAGAAUAAUCUACAUGUUUUGACCCAAUACUUAUUUACAGAGUAUAUUUCUUUUUUUUACAUUCCCCCGCCACCAACAUCAGCAUCAGUGAUGUUCUCAGUAAUAUUUAAAGGUAAUCAAGGUUAUUAACUAAAGUCAAAAUUCAACGUUUAUUAUUAUUAUUUUAUUAUUUAAAUAGUGCCAGCAAAUUCCGUAGCACUGUACAAUGGGGGGUGGGGAGGAGACUAACAGACAUGUAAAUAUAAUGCUGGAGUAGUCGAACUAAAACAAUAGCUGACUUAGAAUAAUUUUCCAUUUAAGCUAUAUUGACCUUAAAUUUGAAAUUCACUUUGAGUUCACUUUGAAAUCUCACUAUAGUAAAUAACAGUGUUACAAUACAGGAUUAUAUAUAACACUUUCAGGGCUAUUCACUAUAGUGAGAAUUGUUCGGAAUUCCAAGCUAAUUUAUAAUUUAAGGUCAAAGUAGCUGAAUUGAAAAUAUAGCCGACUUCAAGGAUUUUGAAGUUUGGCUAUUUUGGAAAUUCACUUGAAAUUCACUUAACCCCUUAACGCCGUUCUAUGCCGUCGCGGCUUUAAAGCCGUUGCGGCGGCAUAGAACGCCGUAACGGCUUUCUGCCCCAGGGGAUCGCAGCUACUUACCUCCGCUGUGAUCCUCUUCUGGAGGGCUGCCUGACCGCCCAGGCAGCCCUCCUCCGGCAAGUGAGGCCCCCGGAUCUUCCAGCAGGGGGACUGUCUGAAAUAUCAGACAGUCCCCCUGCUGGUGGGAAAUGUAAAAAAAUAAAAUUAGACCUGUUUUAAAAUAAAUUAAAUACUAUAUAUAUAUAUAUAUAUAUAUAUAUAUAUAUAUAUAUAUAACGUCAUACGUUGUGUAUUUCAAUACUAAUAUAAGUAUAUAUUAGUAUUAAAAUACACUUAGAAUGACGUUACAUAUAUAAUAUGUAUAUAUAUUAUAUAUAAUAGAUAUAUACACAUAUAUUAUAUAUAUAUGUAUAAUUACAUAAAUAAAUAAAUAAAAUAAAUAAAAUAUUGAAACAAAAUUUUAUUAAAAUUAUAUAUUCAUAUGUAAUUUCAUUCUAACUGUAUUUUGUUAUUAAUAUAUAUAUAUAUUAGUAACAAAAUACACUUAGAAUGACAUUCUAUAUAUAUAUAUAUAUAUAUAUAUCUAUCUAUCUAUCUAAAAUACAAAUAACCGCAAAUAAAUAUAUAUAUAUAUAUAUAUAUAUAUAUAUAUAUAAAUACAUAUUACAUAAAAAGAUUACAUUAGUAUACACGUAGAAUUUAAAUACCUAUAAAUGCAUAUAUAUUAAAAUUCUACGUGUAUAUUUAAGUAAUCUUUUAACAUAAGUAUGUUAUUUGAUUAAUUAAAAUUUGAUUGACAUGCCUGACAACACAGAGAAAGUGCAGAGGAUUUAAUUCGCAAGCACUAUAUUUGACCCUGUAACUCUCCAAGACACCAUAAAACCUGUACAUAGGGGGUACUGUUUCUCAGGAGACUUCGCUGAACUCAAAUAUUAGUGUUUAAAACUGGCAAAUUGUAUUACAACGAUGAUAUUUUAAGUAAAAGUGACGUUUUUUGAUUUUUUUUACAAACAAACGGCACUUUUAUGCACUAUAUUAUUGUUGUAAUAUGUUUUACUGUUUUAAAACACUAAUAUUUGUGUUUAGUGAAGUCUCCAGAGAAUAACAAUACCCCUCAUGUACAGGUUUUAUUGUGUUUUGGAAAGUUAGAGAGUCACAUAUAAGGCUUGCAUUUCAUUUUUUUGACAUUGAAAUUUGCCAGAUUGGUUAUGUUGCUUUUGAGAGUGUAUGGUAGCCCAGGAAUAAGAAUUACCCCCAUGAUGGCAUACCAUUUGAAAAAGUAGACAACCCAAGGUAUUGCAAAUGGGGUAUGUCCAGUCUUUUUUAGUAACCACUUGGUCACAAACACUGGCCAAAAUUAGCGUUCAAUUUAGUUUUUUUACUUUUUUCACACACAAACAAAUAUGAAUGCUUACUUUGGCCAGUGUUUUCGACUAAGUGGCUACUAAAAAAGACUGGACAUACCCCAUAUUGAAUACCCUGGGUUGUCUACUUUAAAAAAAAUAUGUACAUGUGGGGUGUUAUUUAGAGAUUUAUGACAGAUAAUAGUGUUACAAUGUCACUAUUGAUAAAUUUUAAAAAUGUAUGUUUUGAAAACACAAUAUCCUACUUGUACCUAUAGCCCUUUAACAUGCAAAAAAAAGCAAAAAAGCACGUAAACACGGGGUAUUUUUAAACUCAGGACAAAAUUUUGAAUCUAUUUAGCAGUUUUUUUCAUUCGCUUUUGUAGAGGAGUAAAAGAUUUUUCAAGUAAAAGUAAAAAAACAUGUAUUUUUUUCAAUUUUUCAUCAUAUUUUUUUAUUUUUUUUAAAUUAAAAUACAUGAGUUUAUAUAAAUAAUGGUAUGUAAAGAAAGCCCCUUUUGUCCUGAAAAAAACAAUAUAUAAUUUGUAUGGGAACAGUAAAUGAGAAAGCGGAAAAUUACAGCCAGGGUAUGGUCAGUUAUUUCUAGUAGCCACUUAGUCACAAACACUGGCCAAAUAUUAGUUUUUUGCUUUUUUCACACAAAAACAAAUAUGAACGCUAACUUUGGCCAGUGUUUGUGACUAAGUGGCUACUAAAAAAGACUAAACAUACCCCACACCAUUAUGGGGGUAAUUCUCAUUCCUGGGCUACCACACCGUCUCAAAGGUAACAUUACUAACCUGGCAAAUUUCAAUUUGAAAAUGGAACGUUCUAUAUUUGUCCCUGUAACUUUCCAAAACACCAUAAAACCUGUUAAUGGGGGGUACUGUUGUACUUGUGAGACAUCGCUGAUUACAAAUAUUGGCAUUUUUUUGCAGUAAUACCUAACAGUAUUAUGACAUUCACAGCUACAAUGUCAGACGGAAAUACAAAUUUAAGAAAAAAAUCUUUUUUUAAAUUUUAUUCAUAAUAAAUGAUGUUCCAUAUAUGAAUAGUUAAUGAUAAAUUAAAGCCCUGUUUCUCCUGAACAAAAUGAUAUAUAAUAAGUGUGGGUGCACUUAAUGUGACAGCGGUGAAUUACGGGUGAACAGACAUAUAGCGCAAAAUUCCAGUUUUUGUUUACGUUUUGUUUUGAUCAGAACGUGCACUAUUGACUCCGUCCUGAAGGGGUUAACAGUUCUGAUAAGUCUCACUUCAGUGGAUAAUCCUCUCAGUAGGGUUAUCUAAAUUGUAUAAACCACUGCUUAAAUCACACAAAUUGUUCUGCAUACAAUAUGCCUUUUGUCAAAUCUUGUUUGAUUUGUAAUAGUAAUAUAUUUUGAAAUGUGAAUAUGAUUGUAUAGUAUUAAUAGAAUUAACCUUUAGUAAUGAUACUUGCACAUGUUUUUAGAUAUACAAAACAAAUAUAAAAUUUUUUUUUACUGGUAAAUAUUCCACUCCUUGCAGGGAUAUUUAGAAAAUAAAUAGUGGCAAUAAGGAAGCAUGUGCUAUGCAUAUAUUGUUUGUAUGGAGGAGGGAGAGGCUCAAAGAAUGUCAAUUAAUUAUUUUUUUCCCUGCUCUUUAUGCACAUAUUUAUAUACUAGAAUUGUACAUAGUGAAAAAAAAUUGGUUGCCCAAAUCAAUUUAUCAAAAAAACCAAAAACAAACAAACAAUGGGCUCUUUGGAUUUCGUCCAUGUGGUGUUUUGGUUCAGAGAAAUUGGGUCUAUGCGACCAUAACAGUAAAAAUGAUUCAGACAAACCAAAAUUGUACUGCAGUACAUUAAUAGGUGCAUUCUUAGUUCAAAGAUCAAGAUGAUUGAUGGCAAAAAAAAAUCUAUAAUUGAUGGUUUAGGGUCUGGUCAAUAAAUUUAGAUUUUAUUCACAGAUCAAGUGAGAAGAAACCAAUAGAGCUUGAAAAAGGUGGAGCAGAAAACGUCUAUAUUUCUAUAUUUAUUACAUAUAUAAGAUAUAAAUAUCAAUUUUUUUUGCUCCUCCUUAUUUUUUCCUCUACUGGUCACUGCUCACCUUAUGUGAAUACAAUUCACAUUUAUUUAUGUUCCCUAACCAUCAAUUACAUUUUUUUUCCAUCUAUUAUAUUUUCUUUUGGCCCCAUGGAUAGAACUCCAAAUCACAAAACAGUUUGUCCAUUUAGUUUGUUUCAUGAUGUGUCCAUAGAGCAUUUCAGACAAAUGGCUAAUGGCCAAUUGACGAAAAUGCUGUCCCCUCAAAAUAACUCAACACACAGCCAUUAAUGUCUAAAUAGUUGGCAACAACAGUGAGUACACCCCUUUAAACUGACCUGUAUUCCAUGAUAGACGCUGCUAGGCCAAGACCUCUUCGGGAACUAUGACGCAUUCGCUGCAAUCCACUACUGAAUCCCUUGAUUCUCUAAGAGAAAAUUAUAGAAAACCUAUGAAUUAUGCUUAUAUAUUAGAAAUUAUGAUUUUUUUUUGUGAGAAAAUCAAUUUUCUGUGUGUACAACUGUCAUUUUUAAGGAAGUUUGAUCAGGAAAAUAAAAUUUCAUUUCUUUCCUGUUACUUCCUGAAUGUUUUAGUGCAUACCAUGUUUUAGUACACGGCUUCUGUCUAUUUUGUCAACUUGGAAGUUGUAAAUCUUGCAAUAACCAAAAAUAUAUGUUUUUAUUGAUAUAGCUGAUAGUAGACGUGCACAAAUUCUGUUAAUCCCAGGAUGAACAAGUUGAUUUGUUCAUCAAACAUGAAUUAAUAGAAUAAUUUGUCCUUAGAUUAACAGGCAUUUGAUUUGUUAAUGGACCACUAAAGGCACCCAGACCAGACUUCAGCUCAAUGAAGUGGUCUGGGUGCCAGGUCCCCCUAGUUUUAACCCUGCAGCUGUAAACAUAGCAGUUUCAGAUAACCUGUUAUGUUUACAUUAGGGUUAAUCCAGCCUCUAGUGGCUGUCUCAUUGACAGCCACUAGAGGCGCUUCUGCCAUUCUCACUGUGAAAAUCACAAUGAGAAUACGCUGACGUCCAUAGGAAAGCAUUUAGUAAUGCUUUACCAUGGGCGGUUUGAAUGUGCGCGCGGCUCUUGCCAUGUAUGCGCAUUCUGCUCUGACGUUGGCAGCGCCGAGGGAGCCUGACACUAUAGUGGUCCUUUAAGCACAGUUAAAUGGAGUAUGUAGACUGUGUACAAGUCUAGCUGAUAUAUCCUGUGCUUCAGACAGUUCUGGGUUUAUUUUGUAAAACUUUUUUUCCAGGAACUGUGUUUUGUAGAUCAAUAUAGCAAUAAGGUGGCUUUAACUGUGCCAUUAAAUUCAUGAUGAAUUAUAGAAUUUAGUAUCUAAUUUUUUCACAAACAUAAAGCAUUGAAAAUGUACACAGCAAUACAAAUAAAGUACAACUACAGCUAGACUAAUGCAAAAGUGUAAAAAUCCAUAAGGUAUGUUAAAAAAGAUAUAGGCAGUUAAACGUAAAAAAUGUGUUCCAUAAACAUACCAAAUGAAUGAAAAUAUAUGUAUUUUUGCUAAAUAUUAAGGGGAUAUGAGUGUACAUUUGUACAGAGUGUAUGUAUACAUAUGUCAAUACAUAUAAUUAAUUUAUAUUAUAUAUACCAAUAAUGCCCAAAGAAUUGAAAAACCAUUGUGCAUAUGUAGCUUCUAAUCAAAGGGAAUUGUUGUCAUAGUAAGUUUCUUUUUAAUGAAAAUGUGUGAGCAUUGCUAAAGUUAAAGUCGUUUCUGUUUUGUGGGGGGAGGUCAUUUGUACCUGUUAUCAGUGCUGUAUUUGCCCGAGGCAAAUGAGGCAUUUGCCUUGAGGGGCACUUUCCAGGGUACCGCAAAAAAUGCCGUCCCCAAAUGCCCAGGCUAAUGCCUUGUUAGCCUCAGGGCAGACGGCUAGCUGAGCUCCAGGCGGAGAGCACAUUCUGGGUCCCCGCAUCACUUUGCGUUGCGCACCUGGAUCUCAACUGGCCGCCCACCUGCCUGCCCAAACAGUCCGGCCAGCAGCCCCACUGGAGCCCAGGUAAAAAAACACCCAGCUCCCCCAAAGGUAGGGAGGAUGGGUGGAUUUAAAUUAAAAUAAAAAAAUAAUCUGUGAGUGUUGGGGGGGAAGAAUGUGUGGUCACCCCAGAAGUGCCCAACAGGGUAUUUGAACCUGGGUCCUUCGCUUGCUAAUAUGCCUCUAAGCCACAGCGGAUUCUGUUCUUUUGUAUAUGUUCUAUCCUUGCUAUUUCUGGCUUUGUCUGCAACACUAGGGGGCUGCACUUCAUCUGUGGCUGAUACCUGUGCUUCACCUGAGGCAGAUCGCUAAUCAUCCAGGUAUUUAAGCACUGCCUUGCCCUGGGAACUUUGUCAGUCCUUUGAUUCUGGUGAUCGUGUGCUUGUCUCCUGAUACUUGUUCUCCAGAUUGACCUUGGCUUUCCUCCUUGUUUACCCUGACCCUUUGGCAUCCUCUGACUUUGACUUAUCCUCUAAGAUCCUUCUGCUUGUGUCCUUGUUUGUACUGCGAAUUGGAGCACCUUUCACACCCCCCAUGCACAGAUUCACAGUCCUGGUGGUUUCUAACCUUAUCACCUUGGACUAUGUAUAUCUGCAAGGGUGAGCACAAAUCUCUGUCUACCGGACUCCCACCUCUGGUAAGGCCCUGACAGUCUGUCUGUCAGUGAGUCUGUGUGUGUAUAUCUGUCAGUGUGUGAGUGAAUGUCUGUCAGUGUGUGUGUGUGUGUAUGUGUGUCUGUCAGAUUUUCAAGUCAGUGUAUCUGAGAGUGUUUCUGUCAGUCAAAGCGUAUUAGUCUUUAACAGGAAAAGGUGUGGCCUUGACAGGACGGGGCGGGGCAUGUGUAAAUUAGGGGGUGCCCGAGUUAAGUCAUGCCUAGGGCUACACAGAUCCAAAAUACACCAUUGCCUGUCAUCCAAAGGAGCACCGGUGUUUAUUGUGUGAAAAAGUAUGUGAGUAAAAUAUUAGUUAUCAGAUGAACCCAAAAUUGUUGAUUUUGAAAAAGUAGCCAUAAAAUUCUGAUUACAACUGAGAUCAUACUUACAGUUUACCAGAUGCUUUCUGACAAUUUUACUCAUCACUACUGUUGCUUUUUAAUGUUUUAUUUGUUUCAUUUAACAGCUCGACUGACCUGUAAUGAAGAUCAACAUCAGUAACAGACAUCCGUAGAAGACUUUGUGCUUGGUGAGAGAUAUGGAACAUUCCAUUGAAGAAAAAAUGGAAUUCAAGCACCAAAAAUAGCAUUUACACAUACAUAGAAAAUAAUUUUAUAGCAUGGUCAAGCGCUGAAAGCAGCCUCUAUCGCACACCCAGCUCAUACAGGUUUAGUGCUGGGGAUGAGCAAACGGAAAGGCUAGCAAGAAAAUUACUCACUGAUUCAACAAAUAUAGUUUGGUCAUGCUAAACAGUAGGAGUUAAUAAAUUAAUUAUGGCUAGGUGGAUAGGAGGAGGUUUGGGAUAGAAGUAUAGAGCAUACUAACUGAAGGAAGAUAGGAAAAAGGAGGGGUUGGAAUGGAAAAAUGCAAUCACAUGCACACGUCCUUUAGACUGUCUUCAGACACUACAUACCAGAUGCAUGCACACACUACAGAAAUACACCCUACAUUCACACACAUCAGUAGCAUUUGUUUUUCAAUUUUAUUUUAAAGUAUCUGUAAAAUAUUUUGGGUUAGAUAAUUACAGCCUAGACCAGGGAUAGGCAACCUUCGGCAUUCCAGAUGUUUUGGACUACAUCCCCCAUAAUGCUCUUAAAGCCAUAAUGCUGGCAAAGCAUCAAGGGAGAUGUAGUCCACAAUAUCUGGGGUGCCUAUCCCGGGCCUAGACAAUAACAGUAUGAAAUAUUAUAUACUUUGUUAUAUGAAAGUGUUGUAUGACGUUAUAUGUUUGUGAAAACAUUUUACACAUAGUACAUGUUAUAGUGUCGGUGUCAAAGGGUUGCUACAUGGUUAUAUAUGUGAUGGUUUAAAUAUUGCAUAUUGGCCAAAUGCACAUGUCAUUUGGACUUUGCUAUCUAAGAACUAGGAUCAGUCCUAAAAGUACUGAAAACCUAAUUUAUUCCCCUUACACCAUCGACUCAUAGAAUAUCUGCCUAGUUUCUAACAAGUCUGCACUUAACUGAAUCUUACUGCAAAAAAAAUGACAUGUGACCACAUAGUGUCCUUGCCUGCUGGUGGCCAAGUCUGUGCUCUGCAAAAAUAAUUAGCUUUAACUAUGGAUUAUAUUAAAAUCUAAAAGUUAAAUAGGAGGGCUUAUCUGUUUUAAAGCUCUGGGAAUCUAUGACAAUAUCACAUUCUGAACAGAUUUUCAUGUGUUACAUUUUAUACUGGAAAUGGAUGAAACCUAAAGUUGAUUGUCACAGUUGACUUCGACCACCUAUCAGCAUGAGGCUAAUGUGGGCUUACUAACCACUCUUAUUGUAGAUAAUACAUUCAUUUAGCGAUAGCCGAGCCAAGUAGAAGCUGAUGGUAUCUAUCUGGAUUAACAACAUAUAUCACAGAAUGUGAGCUCACUGCUCUAAACUCUGAAAUAUCCUAUCUAUAAGAUCAGCUAAUAAAAUAAAAAAAACAUUAACAGAGCACUCAGUAAUGGUGACAAUCUGUGAAUAAAACUGUUUAGUUGUGUAAUAAAUUUAUGCUACGCAUUGGUUACGUCCUGUUUCAAAGACACCAAACAUAGAAUUUGUAAGUUUCAUUUGUUAUCAGAUUUGUAUUCAUUAUCUGCAAUUGAAAGGCAUGGAUGGGGCCCCGACAGGCACACACACACACACACAUACAUACACAAACAGAUACAUACAUACAGACACAGACAGACACACACACAUACAAAGACACAUACACACAGAGACAGACCCACAGACACAUACAGAGACACAUACAUACACAGACACAUACACAGACAGACACAGACAGACACAUGGGCCCCUUGAACGUGCGGCACCUGCGGUUUGCUGCGCGGGCCGGGCCCGCAACACAUGGUGGUGGGCACCUGGUUGCAGGGGUCCGCAGGGUGGCUGGGCCCCCUGGAGUGGCAGGCCCGGUCACAGCUGCGACUGCGGUAUGUACCCCACUGUGUCAAUGCAAUUUUGUUUUUAUUCACUUUUCCAUUUCUUAUGCCCCUUGUUUCUUAACCUCUUAAGGACACAUGACAUGUGUGACAUGUCAUGAUUCCCUUUUAUUCUAGACGUUUCGUCCUUAGGGGGUUAAUGAAUAUACUUUCCCCAUUACCACUUGUCUUCAUUUAUAUUAAUUGUGUUUUUUAAUUGCUACAAAUCUCUAUAACAAAAUGCCACCAUUUUGGCAUCCUAUGUCCAUGAUGUCCCUUCUGUGGGAUUACUUUGAUUGUUGCAGUCUGGGUAAAUUAUAUUAGCAAAUAAAAUGAAACUCUGCUUAAGCUCCAACCAUUGCAAAAACUGACAAAAAGCAUGCUCCCCUUAAGAAAAAAAAAGUUUUGUUUUUUUCCCAUUAAAAACCUAAACCUGCAAAGUGACAUAGCCACUUUAACUGUGAAAUGGACUUCUGGGGCCGAAAAACAUGGUGCAUUGAAAUGUGCUCUAUGUGCUAGACGUAUGUUGGCUAUGCUGAUUUUUCAUAAUAUUUAAUUACAAAUUAAUCUUUUAUGGCAGUAUAGAAGUUAAGGAUAUAGAUCCAUGGAUCUUUUUGUUCCAGAUCUAUGCAGCAAAUUGAACUUCCACAAGAAAAUAUUACUCCACAAAUGGGCUCUAGAGCCUUUAUACCAGGCAUAGGCAACCUUCGGCACUCCAGAUGUUUUGGACUACACCUCCCAUGAUGAUUUGCUAACAUGAGGGGUGUAAGAGCAUUAUGGGGGAUGUAAUCCACAACAUCUGGAGUGCCGAAGGUGGCCUAUGCCUGCUUUAUACUAACAUUUAUUAGGAAGACCUUUCAGAUGAAUGUGCAAAAACAAUAAAACCACUUGUUAAUGUUUCCAUCUCUCAUAUGCUUUAGAAAAUACCUGAUGACCAAAGGAACUCAUACCAGUCUGAGGAUUUAUACUUAUUUCAGAGGAACAAAUAGAAAUAAAUAGAAAGACACAUUUUGUACCUGGUAAACUUUAGUAUGGGAAAGUGCAUUCUUCAACUGGGGGAUAGCACUGAAUCCCACUUCCUGUAUGUCACCUAAACUGUGCUUCCUAUGAGGGGGUAACCCUAAAAUAACUAAGUAGGAAUAUGAGAAUCCCAAUACCCCCCUCCUCUUCUACAUGCUAAGGGCUGCUAAUGCCCAAAUACCCACUGUUCAGUAGAUAUACCCCCAAUAAUAAAAACAUGCAUGCAUUUAAUUAUGCAUUCUUAUAUUGUGGGUUUAUCUAAAAACUGCUUGCAAAAGCUGCAGAUCUUAUGUCUAAAGCCUUUGCAAGCCCUCCCCAUCUAACACAGACAAGUUUGCCCUUGUCAUGUUCUUCAGCCAAAAUGACUAAGAACGCUUUUCAGUAAAUUAUUUAGUACCCCACAAAUGACCAAACUUAAAGGGAUACUAUAGUGUCAGGAAUACAAACAUGUAUUCCUGGCACUAUAGUGGUUAACUAACUAUUUAGGUGACCAGCCCCCCUCGGAUCGCAUGGAAAAGGUUUUAAACUGACCUUUUUUUUCCAUGCCAUGCCAUCUUGCGCCAGCUAGCCCUCUGGCUCUGCCUCCAUGGCUGAGAUCAUCAAUCUGCGCCAAUCAGCUUCUCCUCAUAGAGAUGUAUUAUAUCAGUGUGUCUGUGAGGAAGAUUCAGUGCCUCCAUGCAUAGGUUGGACACUCUGAACGCCAGCGCUGCAUUCUUUCAUUUCUCCUGAUCAAUAAAUGCCUCCCCUUUGCUGACUUCCAGGUGCAAAGGAGUCAGUUUAUAGGAAUAAUUGACAGGGAGCUAAAAUGGAGGUGCCAAGUUUCAGGAUAAAAAAGAUGUAGAUUUGUACUUCCACUUCUCACAAAUCACAAUUAUCUACUUGUUUAACAUAGGGGAUUAGUAAACAUAAUAUGGAAAUUCCAGGGAAGUGACACUUCCCCAUGAAGCCUUUUGACACCUGGGUGGAUGAAAUUAUUAAUCCCAAUUGCAGCAAUUACUGCUAGGCUGCCCUUGCCAUUUCAUUUUUAUAUUAAUUAUGUAGCUGCUUGGAUAAUUUAGAGGGAAUUGCUCCAGUUUUUUUCACUAAACAAAGACUUUAUUUGCUAAGUAGCAGUCACGGAUAGUCAUAAGCAGCCAUCUUAGGUGAACCAGGUCUACUUGUCAAUUUCUGACAUGACACAGAGGGAGGGGCUUGAUAUUCUCUAUCUUACAAAUUAACUAGCUUUGUGAACCCCAGAAUACCUGUAUGUAAUAUACAAGUUUAUUCUUAUUAUAUAAAAUAUUUUUUAUUGAAGCAUUGGACCAUGAUUGGACCUUUCAUACCACCACACCUAAUGUAUCAACAUGAUACUUUAAGUUACACGGUUUUGAAGUAUCUACUAUCCAUUUUGUUAUGGCACAAAUAAAAGGAAACGGAGAGCACUUUAAAUUCUACUCUAGAUCAUUUGUUUUCUCUGCUUGUCUUUCAAUCUUUGGCACAGUUUGUCAGACCGUAAGUCUCUGCUUGUUGCCUGUCUUCAUGCAAUUGUCUUGCGGCCUGUUCAUAUUUUAAAACCCACAUUUGACUCAUAAUCUAAUAUAUUGUCUUUGUGUUUGUUUAUAUAUGUAUAACUUUCUCCAUUUGUUUAUAUGGUGACUAUUAUACAAACUGAGUCAAGAAGAAAUAGGGACCACCCAUGUUAAUUUACACAUCAAAGACCCUCAUAGUGUGUUAAUGAUUGAGUGGUAGGGUAUCUAUAUCCUAGAUACACCCAUUUGGUGAUAUUAAUAUAUUAAGUUUGGUUCCUGAAGGUCUAAAACCAAGAAAAAAACCUUUAAUGUAAGUAUAUGUGUGUAUGUUUUCACUCCGUUUGUAUUGGUUUUGAAUGCUGUAUAUAGAGUCACUGAACAUAAAAGGUGAUAUUGCGCAAACUCAUUUUGGAUAAUGUUAGGGCUGGAUAUUCUAAAUCUGUAAUCUAUAAUUUUAUCCUUAAUGUUGCAGAUGUGUUUUUUAGUUUGCAUUUCACGGUUUGGUGAAUAAUCCUUGGCUUUGUCUUGUUUUGUUUUUUACCGUCACAAACUUUUCUUUGUUGGAAUUUGCAAUUCCCUGGUGAAUUGCUAACAAUGCUUGACUUAGCGAAAAGCAUAGUCUUCAAAUAUAUGUUUCAGACACCUGGAACUGAAAUUAGGGACUUAAAAGGAUCACUGAAAAAAAUAUAUCACACAAAGUCAUCUAAGGACAGCUUUUGAUUUAUUGAAAAACACAGGUUUAUGACUUACAACUGACAAUGGUAGUUAAUGUCUGUUAGUUAUUCGUUGAAGCAUGCUUCUAUUUGAUAAAAGAAUUUGUUAAUUUAAUACUCUUUUCUCUCUUCAGGUUGAAGCUAUGCUGCCAGCAGAACCUGUUUCACAGGAGACAGGUGCAGUAACUAACAGGACCUUAAAUGACUUUCUUGGAAAGCGCCAUAAUGCUUUUAUCCUAUGUAUGCAGAAUUUUGAAAGAAUGAAAGCUUCUUCUGCCAAAUUUUACCAAUAAAAAAAAAUAGAGCUAUUAAAACACAUAUGUUGUUCAGUAUGGAGUAAUGUUUGUUUCAGCCCUCCAUACCUCUCAAAAUGUCAAAUGGACAAAGAGGGACAUUUUCAUUUUAGGGCUUACUGAUAAUAAUUUUUGCAAUUUCAAUCUAAUUUCAAACAAGAACAAUGCAUCUUAUUUACACCGACUGAUUUCUAAACACAAUUAUAGUUAAAAAAUGUUUCAAAAAAAAAACAUUACCCUACGUGUUAUUGCUGUGGAGCUCUGUUAAAAAAUAUGGAGCAGCUAGACAAGAGGGAUAGUGGAAUAGAAAAGAGGGACAGAUGGAUUUGGGCCUUAAAUAGGGACUGUCCCAUCUACAGAGAGGCAUCAUCGGUAUUCAAAGUUUUGAUAAAUGUCCUGUAGCAGAGAAUGACGUUUUGUAACUUCAGUUCAUAUGAGCCUUGUUUAGCAUCUUAAAAGUAGCAACACCUGAAAAACUACUGCUGCUACUUAUUUAGGGAUCCUUAAAGCUUAUAUCUGUAGUAUGUACAGGUAGUCAUUCUAUUAUUGUGUUUUUUAUAUUUCCCCACAGAACAGAAAAUGUAAAAAGAGCCUCUAAUUUGACUUAUCACUACUGAUAUUUCAAGAAUUUCUUAAUUAAUAUGUGGGGAUGAGAUGGCGAGCCAUUGAAUUCUGGGAUUUAUUUCCUGCUACAACAGAGAAGGUCUGAGAUCCCUUGGAAAAAGGCAAUAGCCGAAACAUUGGGGAGGCUUGGUUUCCAGCCCUAGGUCACUAUACAUGGUAACAUAUCUAACGGGUAAUCAGCUUGCACUUUAUUGUUAUUAGUGGGUAGUGUAUACACUUGUCUAUUAUGCACUUUAUAUUGUAUAUCAAUUGUCUGGUGUAUUGAUUGUAUCAAAUAAAAUCUUUUCUUUUUGCAUAAA